CAGCCCCUCGAGUGGUGGGGAUGAUCAUUUGGCCUAAAGCGUCCGUAGCCGGCCGUGUAAGUCUCCCGUUAAAUCCAGCGUCUCAAGCGUUGGACUGCGGGAGAUACUGCUCGGCUAGAGAGUGGGAGAGGUGUGCGGUAUUCUGGGGGUAGGGGCGAAAUCCUUUGAUCCCCGGAGGACCACCAGUGGCGAAGGCUGCACACUAGAACACGUCUGACGGUCAGGGACGAAAGCUGGGGUAGCGAACCGGAUUAGAGACCCGAGUAGUCC
rnacentral:rRNA from 1 species